GGAGGGGUGGCAGAGUGGAUGAAUGCGCGCGACUCGAAAUCGCGUGUCCCGGCCAAAACCGGGACCGUGGGUUCGAAUCCCACCCCCUCCGCCA
rnacentral:tRNA from 1 species